rnacentral:rRNA from 1 species
CGUGUGGCGGCCUCUUAAGUCUGAUGUGAAAGCCCGGGGCUUACCCCCGGAAGUGCAUUGGAAACUGGGCGGCUAGAGUACCGGAGAGGAAGGUGGAAUUCCUGGUGUAGCGGUGAAAUGCGUAGAUAUCAGGAGGAACACCGGUGGCGAAGGCGGCCUUCUGGACGGAUACUGACGCUGAGACGCGAAAGCGUGGGGAGCAAACAGGAUUAGAUACCCUGGUAGUCCACGCGGUAAACGAUGGGCACUAGGUGUUCGGGGUAUUGACCCCCUGAGUGCCGCAGCUAACGCAUUAAGUGCCCCGCCUGGGGACUACGGCCGCAAGGUUAAA